rnacentral:rRNA from 1 species
UACGAAGGGGGCAAGCGUUGUUCGGAAUUACUGGGCGUAAAGGGCGCGUAGGCGGCCGAUCAAGUCAGGCGUGAAAUUCCCGGGCUCAACCUGGGAAUGGCAUUGGUGACUGCACGGCUAGAGUGUGUCAGAGGGGGGUAGAAUUCCACGUGUAGCAGUGAAAUGCGUAGAGAUGUGGAGGAAUACCGAUGGCGAAGGCAGCCCCCUGGGAUAACACUGACGCUCAUGCACGAAAGCGUGGGGAGCAAACAGG